AACGAACGCUGUCGGCAUGCCUAACACAUGCAAGUCGAACGAGACCUUCGGGUCUAGUGGCGCACGGGUGCGUAACGCGUGGGAACCUGCCCUUAGGUUCGGAAUAACUCCCCGAAAGGGGUGCUAAUACCGGAUAAUGUCUUCGGACCAAAGAUUUAUCGCCUUUGGAUGGGCCCGCGUUGGAUUAGCUAGUUGGUAGGGUAAAAGCCUACCAAGGCGACGAUCCAUAGCUGGUCUGAGAGGAUGAUCAGCCACACUGGGACUGAGACACGGCCCAGACUCCUACGGGAAGCAGCAGUGGGGAAUAUUGGACAAUGGGCGAAAGCCUGAUCCAGCAAUGCCGCGUGAGUGAUGAAGGCCUUAGGGUUGUAAAGCUCUUUUACCCGGGAUGAUAAUGACAGUACCGGGAGAAUAAGCUCCGGCUAACUCCGUG
rnacentral:rRNA from 1 species